GCUUUGUGAUGACCAGGAGGAUUAGCGCUACUUUUCCAAGACAGGUUUAUAUGUGUAUGAUCUUCAGGCUUUGCCUAUCCAGGUUGGCUGGCCGGUGCUGACGGGAUGGAGCUGAGGCUAGAGAUAAAUUCCUAUGUUAGACUUCCGCUGUAGCAAUUACUCAUAUCAGUCUUUUGUUUUCCCAACUUAAGAUCUUCAUGUUAAAUUUCAAAUGAUAUAUCUGACCGAGCUUAGACUC